GAUGAACGCUGGCGGCGUGCUUAACACAUGCAAGUCGAACGAUAACGCCCAGCUUGCUGGGUGGAUUAGUGGCGAACGGGUGAGUAACACGUGAGUAACCCGCCCUUUACUCUUUGGUAAGGCUUGGCAACUGGGACCAAUACCUGAUAUGACUUCUCAUCUCAGGGUGGGGGGUGGGGAGCUUUAGUGGUAUUGGAUGGGCGUGCGGCUUAUUAGCUUUUUGGAGUGGUAAUGGCACACGACGGCGACGGCGGGUAUCCGGCCUUGGAGGGUGACCGGGCACACUGGGACUGAGACACGGCCCAGACGCCUACGGGAGGCAGCAGUGGGGAAUAUUGCACAAUGGGCGCAAGCCUGAUGCAGCGACGCCGCGUGAGGGAUGACGGCCUUCGGGGUGUAAACCUCUUUCAGUAGGGAAGAAGCGAGAGUGACGGUACCUGCAGAAGAAGCGCCGGCUAACUACGUG
rnacentral:rRNA from 1 species